GAUCAUUUAUUUCUUGCCUUUAAAC
rnacentral:piRNA from 1 species